rnacentral:rRNA from 1 species
UUCCUACGGGGGGCAGCAGUGAGGAAUAUUGGUCAAUGGCCGAGAGGCUGAACCAGCCAAGUCGCGUGAGGGAUGACGGCCCUACGGGUUGUAAACCUCUUUUGCCGGGGAGCAAAGAGCGGGACGCGUCCCGCCUCGAGAGUACCCGGAGAAAAAGCAUCGGCUAACUCCGUGCCAGCAGCCGCGGUAAUACGGAGGAUGCGAGCGUUAUCCGGAUUUAUUGGGUUUAAAGGGUGCGUAGGCGGUUUGUCAAGUCAGCGGUAAAAAUUCCGGGCUCAACCCGGUCCCGCCGUUGAAACUGGCGA